AAUCAACGCUGGCGGCGUGCCUCAGACAUGCAAGUCGAACGAUUAAAGCUCUCUUCGGAGAGUGUAUAGAGUGGCGCACGGGUGAGUAACACGUAAGUAAUCUACCCUCGAGUGGGGAAUAACGUCCGGAAACGGACGCUAAUACCGCAUAAUGCAGCGGCACCGCAAGGUGACAGUUGUUAAAGAUUUAUUGCUUGAGGAGGAGCUUGCGGCAGAUUAGCUAGUUGGUAAGGUAAUGGCUUACCAAGGCUACGAUCUGUAACCGGUCUAAGAGGACGGUCGGUCACACUGACACUGAAUAACGGGUCAGACUCCUACGGGAGGCAGCAGUCGGGAAUUUGGGCAAUGGGCGAAAGUCUGACCCAGCAACGCCGCGUGAAGGAUGAAGUAUUUCGGUAU
rnacentral:rRNA from 1 species